GAUGAACGCUGGCGGCGUGCCUAAUACAUGCAAGUCGAACGAGUUCUCGUUGAUGAUCGGUGCUUGCACCGAGAUUCAACAUGGAACGAGUGGCGGACGGGUGAGUAACACGUGGGUAACCUGCCCUUAAGUGGGGGAUAACAUUUGGAAACAGAUGCUAAUACCGCAUAGAUCCAAGAACCGCAUGGUUCUUGGCUGAAAGAUGGCGUAAGCUAUCGCUUUUGGAUGGACCCGCGGCGUAUUAGCUAGUUGGUGAGGUAAUGGCUCACCAAGGCGAUGAUACGUAGCCGAACUGAGAGGUUGAUCGGCCACAUUGGGACUGAGACACGGCCCAAACUCCUACGGGGGGCAGCAGUAGGGAAUCUUCCACAAUGGACGCAAGUCUGAUGGAGCAACGCCGCGUGAGUGAAGAAGGCUUUCGGGUCGUAAAACUCUGUUGUUGGAGAAGAAUGGUCGGCAGAGUAACUGUUGUCGGCGUGACGGUAUCCAACCAGAAAGCCACGGCUAACUACGUGCCAGCAGCCGCGGUAAUACGUAGGUGGCAAGCGUUAUCCGGAUUUAUUGGGCGUAAAGCGAGCGCAGGCGGUUUUUUAAGUCUGAUGUGAAAGCCCUCGGCUUAACCGAGGAAGCGCAUCGGAAACUGGGAAACUUGAGUGCAGAAGAGGACAGUGGAACUCCAUGUGUAGCGGUGAAAUGCGUAGAUAUAUGGAAGAACACCAGUGGCGAAGGCGGCUGUCUGGUCUGUAACUGACGCUGAGGCUCGAAAGCAUGGGUAGCGAACAGGAUUAGAUACCCUGGUAGUCCAUGCCGUAAACGAUGAAUGCUAGGUGUUGGAGGGUUUCCGCCCUUCAGUGCCGCAGCUAACGCAUUAAGCAUUCCGCCUGGGGAGUACGACCGCAAGGUUGAAACUCAAAGGAAUUGACGGGGGCCCGCACAAGCGGUGGAGCAUGUGGUUUAAUUCGAAGCAACGCGAAGAACCUUACCAGGUCUUGACAUCUUUUGAUCACCUGAGAGAUCAGGUUUCCCCUUCGGGGGCAAAAUGACAGGUGGUGCAUGGUUGUCGUCAGCUCGUGUCGUGAGAUGUUGGGUUAAGUCCCGCAACGAGCGCAACCCUUAUGACUAGUUGCCAGCAUUUAGUUGGGCACUCUAGUAAGACUGCCGGUGACAAACCGGAGGAAGGUGGGGAUGACGUCAAAUCAUCAUGCCCCUUAUGACCUGGGCUACACACGUGCUACAAUGGAUGGUACGACGAGUUGCGAGACCGCGAGGUCAAGCUAAUCUCUUAAAGCCAUUCUCAGUUCGGACUGUAGGCUGCAACUCGCCUACACGAAGUCGGAAUCGCUAGUAAUCGCGGAUCAGCACGCCGCGGUGAAUACGUUCCCGGGCCUUGUACACACCGCCCGUCACACCAUGAGAGUUUGUAACACCCGAAGCCGGUGGCGUAACCCUUUUAGGGAGCGAGCCGUCUAAGGUGGGACAAAUGAUUAGGGUGAAGUCGUAACAAGGUAGCCGUAGGAGAACC
rnacentral:rRNA from 1 species